AACUUUUAGCAACGGACACUUGGCUCUCGCAUCGAUGAAGAACGCAGCGAAAUGCGAUAAGUAAUGUGAAUUGCAGAAUUCAGUGAAUCAUCGAAUCUUUGAACGCACCUUGCACUCCUUGGUAUUCCGAGGAGUAUGCCUGUUUGAGUGUCAUUAAUAUAUCAACCUCUCAAGCUUUUGCUUGUGGAGUGUAUGGAUGUGGGGGAAUUAUUUUGCUGGCCUUUUAAUGAGGUCGGCUCCCCUGAAAUGCAUUGGCAGAAUGAUUUUGCUGACCGUUUAUUGGUGUGAUAACUAUCUACGCUGUUGACGUGAAGCAAGUUCAGCUUAUAAUGGUCCAUUGACUUGGACAACAUAUUUAUUAAUGUGACCUCAAAUCAGGUAGGACUACCCGCUGAACUUAAGCAUAUCAAUAAGCGGAGGCU
rnacentral:misc_RNA from 1 species